GGUUGGUGAACACAUGGAGGUGCGGGGAGGGUGGCGAGCCCAGCGAGGACGUGGAUUCCCCACGGCCCUUCCCACAUACCUCGUUCUUUCAUUUGGCUGUUUCUCAGUUGUGUGCUUUAUAAUCAACUGACAAUGGUCCUAUGUCCCUUCCUCUUAAAUUUGGGCAGAAUUUGUGACUUCUUUGUCCAACAAAAUAUCGCAGAAGUGAUGCUGUACCAGACUGAAGAAGAGUGGCAGUUUCUAGCUGUGGUAUCUUGGAUCCAAAGAAUCAAUGACCCCAUACAACAGACCCAGUAGAGUUCCCAGGAAACACCCAGCACCAGCCAUGUUGGUAAGAUAUCUUGAAAAUAGAUACUUCAGCCCACUUGAGCCACCACAGCUCACACCACCUGGAGCACAGUCAAGCCUUUUCUGCUGAGCCCUGCCCAAACUGCAGAUUUGUGAACCAAAUAAAUAAUUGCAAUUGUUUUAAGCCAA
rnacentral:lncRNA from 1 species